CCCCUUUCAGGACCGCACCUGGAGAGUUUCCGGUACUCUACCAGUCUCAGUUAUGUGAGGGAGAGUCAAGUAGAGGUAUACCCAUUCCAUUUCUAGCUUGGGUCAUAGCUAGCAUAUGGAAGGCAAUCUGCUACAGGU